UUCCAUAAGAUAAAGAAAAGAAAAGAAAAAAAAAAUUAAAACACAAAUCUUCUUCUUCAAAAAAACGUCACUCUCUCUCUCCCACACCAAAACCACCAUGAAAGCUCAUUUUUGAGCUUGAAGAACCAAAAUCCAACCAUGGCCAAUUGUCCUACCAUAACUAGAAGUUGUUUGGACAACUAGGAAAGAGGAUUCAAAGAAAAGAAAGAAGAAAAAUUUGAAGAAAAGGGAGAAGAAAUUCUGCACACAAGUUGAAAAGAAUAUCGGGAAGGAACCCGAGGAAACGAGUCGAGGCUAAGGGACGACUCGCUUGAGAUAAAAGCAAGGAGAG